GAUGAACGCUGGCGGCGUGCCUAAUACAUGCAAGUCGAGCGAACAGACGAGGAGCUUGCUCCUCUGACGUUAGCGGCGGACGGGUGAGGAACACGGGGAUAACCUACCUAUAAGACUGGGAUAACUUCGGGAAACCGGAGCUAAUACCGGAUAAUAUAUUGAACCGCAUGGUUCAAUAGUGAAAGACGGUUUUGCUGUCACUUAUAGAUGGAUACGCGCCGCAUUAGCUAGUUGGUAAGGUAACGGCUUACCAAGGCAACGAUGCGUAGCCGACCUGAGAGGGUGAUCGGCCAAACUGGAACUGAGACACGGUCCAGACUCCUACGGGAGGCAGCAGUAGGGAAUCUUCCGCAAUGGGCGAAAGCCUGACGGAGCAACGCCGCGUGAGUGAUGAAGGUCUUCGGAUCGUAAAACUCUGUUAUUAGGGAAGAACAAAUGUGUAAGUAACUAUGCACGUCUUGACGGUACCUAAUCAGAAAGCCACGGCUAACUCCGUG
rnacentral:rRNA from 1 species